CAGAACCAGCGUGGGAAAGCAGGAGGGCUGCCCUUGGGCAGCGUGGGCAAUAGGGAGGAGAAAACAGAAAUUGAAUAAAGAAAGAGAGAGGAGCUGCCUUUGGCAGCGUGGAGGUCAGCGAGAAGAAAAAGGCAGGAGAGACUGACACGGACAGUGGAUAGAAGGGAGAAUCAGAAUGCUGCCUUUGGGCAGCGUGACAGGG
rnacentral:lncRNA from 1 species